CGCGUAGGCGGCAUGCCAAGCGUGUGGUGAAAGCCCGGGGCUCAACCCCGGGUCGGCCGUGCGGACUGGCAUGCUCGAGCACUGUAGGGGCGGGUGGAAUUCCGGGUGUAGCGGUGGAAUGCGUAGAGAUCCGGAAGAACACCGGUGGCGAAGGCGGCCCGCUGGGCAGGAAGGCACCGCAAGGUGCCGGCUGACGCUGAGGCGCGACAGCGUGGGGAGCAAACAGGAUUAGAUACCCUGGUAGUCCACGCCGUAAACGAUGGGCACUAGGUGCCUGGGGGAGCGACCCUCCGGGUGCCGGCGCUAACGCAUUAAGUGCCCCGCCUGGGGAGUACGGCCGCAAGGCUGAA
rnacentral:rRNA from 1 species